rnacentral:rRNA from 1 species
CCUACGGGGGGCAGCAGUGGGGAAUAUUGGACAAUGGGCGAAAGCCUGAUCCAGCAAUGCCGCGUGUGUGAAGAAGGUCUUCGGUUGUAAAGCAUUUUCGACGGGGACGAUGAUGACGGUACCCGUAGAAGAAGCCCCGGCUAACUCCGUGCCAGCAGCCGCGGUAAUACGAAGGGGGCUAGCGUUGCUCGGAAUGACUGGGCGUAAAGGGCGCGUAGGCGGUUUAUGCAGUCAGAUGUGAAAUCCCCGGGCUUAACCUGGGAACUGCAUUUGAGACGCAUAGACUAGAGGGCGAGAGAGGGUUGUGGAAUUCCCAGUGUAGAGGUGAAAUUCGUAGAUAUUGGGAAAAACACCGGUGGCGAAGGCGGCAACCUGGCUCGAUACUGACGCUGAGGCGCGAAAGCGUAGGGAGCAAACAGGAUUAGAUACCCGGGUAGUC